ACUGUUUUAUAUACUGAAGCCUAUAAUCUUUAGUGUUGUUUUAAAAUUUCUAACCACAUUCUACAUUUGUAUUAAUGUAUUUUAUGCUCUUUUCAUGGUAUAAGGGAAUCGUUAUAACUUUUUUAUCAAUUACUUUAUUAAAACUUCAUAAUACUCCCUAAAUCGAUUAAAUAACCGCUAUAAAAUCACUAUUAUGUUGAAAAACGGAGACAACAAAGGCUUCAAACGUCUUUAAACAUCAUUAUAUGUUACUGGAGGAUGCAGCUAUGCAUUAAAAAAAUAUUGUUUUAUUUUUUGAAAUUUUCUCAAAAUCUAUGUCUUAACCCCUACGAAAAUAUUGAGUUUUUGGUAAAUGUUUUAUAUACUGAAGCCUAUAAUCUUUAGUGUUGUUUUAAAAUUUCUAACCACAUUCUACAUUUGUAUUAAUGUAUUUUAUGCUCUUUUCAUGGUAUAAAGGAAUCGUUAUAACUUUUUUAUUAAUUACUUUAGUAAAACUUCAUAAUACUCCCUAAAUCGAUGGAAUAACCACUAUAAAAACACUAUUUUGUUAAAAAACGGAGACAACAAAGGCUUCAAACCUCUUUGAACAUCAUCAUACGUUACUAGAGGAUGCAACUAUGCAUUAAAA